UACGUAGGGGGCUAGCGUUGUCCGGAUUUAUUGGGCGUAAAGAGCGUGUAGGCGGCCAGGUAGGUCUGGUGUGAAAACUCGAGGCUUAACCUCGAGAUGUCAUCGGAAACCAUCUGGCUAGAGUCCGGAAGAGGAAAGUGGAAUUCCUGGUGUAGCGGUGAAAUGCGUAGAUAUCUGGAGGAACACCGGUGGCGAAGGCGGCAUCCUGGACCGACACUGACGCUGAGGAGCGAAAGCCAGGGGAGCAAACGGG
rnacentral:rRNA from 1 species